rnacentral:misc_RNA from 1 species
GUGAAUCAUCGAAUCUUUGAACGCAACUUGCGCCUCUCCCGAGGCAUGUCUGUUUGAGUGCCGCAUACCUCUAUGCAGUAAUGUGUCUUGACGGCUGUCCUCGGACUCUGUCUAAACAUAGCCAGUAAGUCGUGGGUUGCGACCAGCCCGAGUGCUAAGCAUUCUUGGCCUGGCCGUAGCUACGAUCAGCAAGGCAGCAAUGCUACGCUAUACUAUCUAUUUGGCCUCAAAUCAGGCAGGACUACCCGCUGAACUUAAGCAUAUCAAUAAGCGGAGGA